rnacentral:rRNA from 1 species
GACGAACGCUGGCGGCGUGCCUAAUACAUGCAAGUCGAACGCAACUUUCCCACCGAGUGCUUGCACUCACCGGGGAAGUUGAGUGGCGAACGGGUGAGUAACACGUGGGUAACCUGCCCAUCAGUGGGGGACAACACUUGGAAACAGGUGCUAAUACCGCAUAACACUUCUGGCCGCAUGGCCGGAAGUUGAAAGGCGCUUCACAGCGUCACUGAUGGAUGGACCCGCGGUGCAUUAGCUAGUUGGCGAGGUAACGGCUCACCAAGGCAACGAUGCAUAGCCGACCUGAGAGGGUGAUCGGCCACAUUGGGACUGAGACACGGCCCAAACUCCUACGGGAGGCAGCAGUAGGGAAUCUUCGGCAAUGGACGAAAGUCUGACCGAGCAACGCCGCGUGAGUGAAGAAGGUUUUCGGAUCGUAAAACUCUGUUGUCAGAGAAGAACGUGCGUGGGAGGAAAUGCCCAGGCAGUGACGGUAUCUGACCAGAAAGCCACGGCUAACUACGUGCCAGCCGCCGCA